GUAGUUAACAGAGCAUCAAGAGUUUUACAGGCCGUCGAAUUUUUCUUCUUACUGAUGACUACGCCACUGCUUUUUCUUAUUUAACUCCUAUGUUUAUUUGUAUCCGCCCAGUGCCUUUUGCUCUGGGCUUUUUUUU
rnacentral:antisense_RNA from 1 species